UGGGGAAUAUUGGACAAUGGGCGCAAGCCUGAUCCAGCCAUGCCGCGUGAGUGACGAAGGCCUUAGGGUUGUAAAGCUCUUUUGGCGGGGACGAUAAUGACGGUACCCGCAGAAUAAGCCCCGGCUAACUUCGUGCCAGCAGCCGCGGUAAUACGAAGGGCGCUAGCGUUGUUCGGAUUUACUGGGCGUAAAGCGCACGUAGGCGGAUCGUUAAGUGAGGGGUGAAAUCCCAGGGCUCAACCCUGGAACUGCCUUUCAUACUGGCGAUCUGGAGUUCGAGAGAGGUGAGUGGAAUUCCGAGUGUAGAGGUGAAAUUCGUAGAUAUUCGGAGGAACACCAGUGGCGAAGGCGGCUCACUGGCUCGAUACUGACGCUGAGGUGCGAAAGCGUGGGGAGCAAACAGGAUUAGAUACC
rnacentral:rRNA from 1 species